CUGCUAUGGUGUAGAGAAAGCACAGUGUCUUUUCAUGACACAAGUGUAAUAGUUUACUAGCAGU
rnacentral:tRNA from 1 species